UACGGAGGGUGCAAGCGUUAAUCGGAAUUACUGGGCGUAAAGCGCGCGUAGGCGGUUUGGUAAGCUGGAUGUGAAAUCCCUGGGCUCAACCUGGGAACUGCAUCCAGAGCUGCCAAGCUAGAGUAUGGUAGAGGGUAGUGGAAUUUCCGGUGUAGCGGUGAAAUGCGUAGAUAUCGGAAGGAACACCAGUGGCGAAGGCGGCUACCUGGACCAAUACUGACGCUGGGGUGCGAAAGCGUGGGGAGCAAACAGGAUUAGAUACCCUGGUAGUCCACGCCGUAAACGAUGUCAACUAGCCGUUGGGCUCCUUGAGGGUCUAGUGGCGCAGCUAACGCGAUAAGUUGACCGCCUGGGGAGUACGGCCGCAAGGUUAAA
rnacentral:rRNA from 1 species